rnacentral:rRNA from 1 species
UACAGAGGGUGCGAGCGUUAAUCGGAAUUACUGGGCGUAAAGCGUGCGUAGACGGUUAUUUAAGUCGGAUGUGAGAGCCCCGGGCUCAACCUGGGAAUUGCAUUCGAGACUGAAUAGCUAGGGUGCGGUAGAGGGAAGCGGAAUUUCCGGUGUAGCGGUGAAAUGCGUAGAUAUCGGAAGGAACAUCAGUGGCGAAAGCGGCUUCCUGGACCAGCACCGACGUUCAGGCACGAAAGCGUGGGGAGCAAACAGG